GCGCCCGUGGCUCAACGGAUAGAGCACUGGACUUCUAAUCCGGCGGUUGAGGGUUCGAAUCCCCCCGGGCGCGCCA
rnacentral:tRNA from 1 species